rnacentral:tRNA from 1 species
CAUUGAGAAGCUAACAGGGUUCAGCAUUAGCCUUUUAAGCUAAAUAUUGGUGACUCCCAACCACCCUUAAUGA